rnacentral:rRNA from 1 species
AGAUUGAACGCUGGCGGCAUGCCUUACACAUGCAAGUCGAGCGGCAGCGCGGGGUAACCUGGCGGCGAGCGGCGAACGGGUGAGUAAAGCAUCGGAACGUAUCCAAGAGUGGGGGAUAACCUAGCGAAAGCUAGGCUAAUACCGCAUAAGCCCUGAGGGGGGAAAGUGGGGGACCGUAAGGCCUCACGCUGGUGGAGCGGCCGAUGUCGGAUUAGCUAGUUGGUGAGGUAAAGGCUUACCAAGGCGACGAUCCGUAGCUGGUUUGAGAGAACGACCAGCCACACUGGGACUGAGACACGGCCCAGACUCCUACGGGAGGCAGCAGUGGGGAAUUUUGGACAAUGGGGGCAACCCUGAUCCAGCCAUGCCGCGUGAAUGAUGAAGGCCUUAGGGUUGUAAAGUCCUUUUAACGGGGAAGAUAAGUGACGGUACCCGUAGAAUAAGCCCCGGCUAACUUCGUGCCAGCAGCCGC